rnacentral:sRNA from 1 species
GCAAAGGCAAGAAGGCAACAGCGUUCCAUCUGUGGAAGGACCUACCAACCAGGGAACCAUUGGAGGGUAAACUGAGAAAUGACCCAGUUCCAUUUGCCUCUUACAGAGAUCAUUCCAUCGGCUCCUUGUAGAUAGACCAGUCUACCUCUGUGGUCAUGAUUUAGAACAUAAAACCUAGACCCAAAGGAGAGCCAGUCUGGAAGCCAGAUCUAACCUACCUCAUGUAAUUAUGUCCCCACUCUGCCACAUGACUUCUCAGAUCUACACAGAACACAAAUUGGGCUUUUUCAAGUAUUUAUCAAAACCAAAAUUAUGGUCACUUUCAGGACAUAGGAAGAGGUGGAAAUAGAGCCAAUUCCCUGUGUGCUCCUUUCCCCUUUUCCCUGCAUAGGGUUCUCUCGUCUGUAGAGUUAUGGCAACCUGUGAGAGAUUCAUAAUAAUCACCUACAGUGUGGCAUUUUUC